GUCUUUUUGAAUUAAAUUUAAAGUCUGACCUGCCCAUUGAAUUUAAAAAUUUAAAAGGCUGCGGUAUUUUGACCGUACAAAGGUAGCAUAAUCAUUAGUUUUUUAAUUGGAAACUAGUAUGAAUGGUUGAAUGAGAAAUUAGCUUUUUUUAUAAAAAAUAUUGAAUUUUACUUUUUAAUUAAAAGGUUAAGAUAAUCUUAAAAGACGAGAAGACCCUAUAGAUUUUUAUAAUAAAUAUUAUAUUUUUAAUAAAGUUGUUUAAAUAUUAUAUAAUUUUUAAUAUUUUGUUGGGGUGAUAAUAAAAUUUAUAAAACUUUUAUUAAUUUUUCCAUUAAUAAAUGAAUAAUUGAUCCAUUAUUAAUGAUUAAAAAUUUAAAUUACCUUAGGGAUAACAGCGUAAUUUUUUUUUAAGUUCAUAUUAAUAAAAAAGUUUGCGACCUCGAUGUUGGAUUAAGAGUAAAUUUUAGUUGCAGCAGUUUAAAAUUUGAGUCUGUUCGACUUUUAAAUUCUU
rnacentral:rRNA from 1 species